AGUGAAAGAGUGUUGUGUGCUUUUGCUGAGUUUAGGAUGGUGUCAAUUGUGCCUCAGGAGAAGAGUUUAGACAUUCUGUCCUGAUGAAUGUAAUCAAGUCUUUAUUUCAUGGUUUCUCUUAACGCAAAUACGUACAGGUUCAUAUUCGUCGAUGAGGGUGAGAGGAAAACUAUCGCCAACAGAAAGAAUCCAGAUAGGAAGAGAGAAAAAGAAAGACCAGAGAUGGAUUUUGUGUCCUUUUUAAAACAGCCUCAAUCACCUGAUUCCUCCCUGCCACUUCUCUGCAAAUGAUAGAGUUCACACAUCUAUAAUUCUCUCAUAGGUUCAUGUGGGCUGCUCCUCAUAACCCUGCUCAAACACUACUGAGGCAUCAGGAUCUUCAAGAUUCAUUUUCUCUUGCCACCACCAUAUAAGAAGUGC
rnacentral:lncRNA from 1 species